rnacentral:rRNA from 1 species
AUUGCCCUAGUAACGGCGAGUGAAGCGGCAACAGCUCAAAUUUGAAAUCUGGCUCUUUUAGGGUCCGAGUUGUAAUUUGCAGAGGGCGCUUUGGCUUUGGCAGCGGUCCAAGUUCCUUGGAACAGGACGUCACAGAGGGUGAGAAUCCCGUACGUGGUCGCUAGCUAUUGCCGUGUAAAGCCCCUUCGACGAGUCGAGUUGUUUGGGAAUGCAGCUCUAAAUGGGAGGUAAAUUUCUUCUAAAGCUAAAUAUUGGCCAGAGACCGAUAGCGCACAAGUAGAGUGAUCGAAAGAUGAAAAGCACUUUGGAAAGAGAGUCAAACAGCACGUGAAAUUGUUGAAAGGGAAGCGCUUGCAGCCAGACUUGCUUGCAGUUGCUCAUCCGGGCUUUUGCCCGGUGCACUCUUCUGCAGGCAGGCCAGCAUCAGUUUGGGCGGUGGGAUAAAGGUCUCUGACACGUUCCUUCCUUCGGGUUGGCCAUAUAGGGGAGACGUCAUACCACCAGCCUGGACUGAGGUCCGCGCAUCUGCUAGGAUGCUGGCGUAAUGGCUGUAAGCGGCCCGUCUUGAAACACGGACCAAGGAGUCUAACAUCUAUGCGAGUGUUUGGGUGUCAAGCCCGAGCGCGUAAUGAAAGUGAACGGAGGUGGGAACCCGCAAGGGCGCACCAUCGACCGAUCCUGAAGUUUACGGAAGGAUUUGAGUAAGAGCAUGGCUGUUGGGACCCGAAAGAUGGUGAACUAUGCUUGAAUAGGGUGAAGCCAGAGGAAACUCUGGUGGAGGCUCGCAGCGGUUCUGACGUGCAAAUCGAUCGUCAAAUUUGGGCAUAGGGGCGAAAGACUAAUCGAUCUUCU